rnacentral:rRNA from 1 species
UGGGGAAUCUUCCGCAAUGGACGAAAGUCUGACGGAGCAACGCCGCGUGAGUGAAGAAGGUUUUCGGAUCGUAAAACUCUGUUUUCAGGGACGAAUGUGCAGUGUGUAAAUAAUGCAUUGUAAUGACGGUACCUGAGUAGAAAGCCACGGCUAACUACGUGCCAGCAGCCGCGGUAAUACGUAGGUGGCAAGCGUUGUCCGGAAUUAUUGGGCGUAAAGCGCGCGCAGGUGGGAUAUUAAGUCUGGUGUUAAAGUUCGGGGCUCAACCCCGUGAAGCAUUUGGAAACUGAUAUUCUUGAGUGCAGGAGAGGAAAGUGGAAUUCCUAGUGUAGCGGUGAAAUGCGUAGAUAUUAGGAGGAACACCAGUGGCGAAGGCGACUUUCUGGACUGUGUCUGACACUGAGGCGCGAAAGCCAGGGUAGUGAACGGG